AUACGGAGGAUCCGAGCGUUAUCCGGAUUUAUUGGGUUUAAAGGGUGCGUAGGCGGCCUUUUAAGUCAGCGGUGAAAGUCUGUGGCUCAACCAUAGAAUUGCCGUUGAAACUGGGGGGCUUGAGUAUGUUUGAGGCAGGCGGAAUGCGUGGUGUAGCGGUGAAAUGCAUAGAUAUCACGCAGAACCCCGAUUGGGAAGGGAGCCUGCCAAGCCAUGACUGACGCUGAUGCACGAAAGCGUGGGGAUCAAACAGGAUUAGAUACCCUGGUAGUCCACGCAGUAAACGAUGAUCACUAGCUGUUUGCGAUACACUGUAAGCGGCACAGCGAAAGCGUUAAGUGAUCCACCUGGGGAGUACGCCGGCAACGGUGAAACUCAAAGGAAUUGGCGGGG
rnacentral:rRNA from 1 species